GGUGGGUAGCAGUACAGAAUCUGCAGAGAGGAGUGUUAAACUACGACCCUGCUUCCUGGUCUGAACCCUGGGUUGUCAGAGGUUGGAAGGAAGAUGGUGGAAGUGGGUUGGAGGAAGGUCGAGCUCGACUGAAGAGCAGGAGGGAUCCAUGACUGGCAGUCCUUAAAGGCGAAGCAUCAGAGGGUGAUUGGCUGAAGAGGCAUGCGGACUUGACACUGAUUGGAUGGAGGGGAGACGCAUGGAGGAGUCAUUGGAUGGAGCAGGUGGUGAGGAGUGGCAGAUAUGUUGGGAGAAUGGGCAAAAAACUAGUCAUCAAAAAAACAAGAACGAGAAUGGCUGUGAAACUGAAGAGACACACCGACCUCUCAGAGAAAUCUCAUCUGUCUGGGUUUCAACAGUUGGUUUCUAACUGAAGAUCAUAACGAGCAUGACUUACUAUUCAAACCCAAAUAUUCAGAGUUAAAGCUCAUAGUUAUGAUUUGCAUUUGGAGAGACAAUAGGAAUGAUGAACAACGUGAAGCAAAAGUGUUUUUUCACAAGUACGUCAAGGACCUUGAAGGAAAAGAAAUGUAUGUUCAGCAAAUAUUAAAAUAGCCUAAACAAACAUGCAGUUCCUGAAAUGGUGGUCAGAUCUUGAAGUACACACUAAAUGGUGUUUUAUAUUGUUACAUGAACCCUUCCUGCAGGAAUAAUGAGAAUGAAAAGUGUUCAACAUGUUUCUCAUGCAAAGAACUUGAUUAGGUUACCUUGGAAGACUACACAGAAAUGUGAAGAGGGAGUGGCACAUCCAAGAGAACACAUGAGAGACUUAUAACACAUUCAGCCGAGUGCAUUAAUCUAUGCCGUUGCAUAGAUUAAUGCAGGUUUUAGAAAUCCUUUGGGGUUUUUUUUGGGCUAUUUUCAUUUUCAGUGUCUGAUCUGUUUAUUGAUUUAAAUAAAUUUUCUGUGCUGGA